rnacentral:rRNA from 1 species
CCUACGGGAGGCAGCAGUAGGGAAUCUUGGACAAUGGGCGCAAGCCUGAUCCAGCCAUGCCGCGUGAGUGAAGAAGGCCUUGGGGUCGUAAAGCUCUUUCGCCUGUGAUGAUAAUGACAGUAGCAGGUAAAGAAACCCCGGCUAACUCCGUGCCAGCAGCCGCGGUAAUACGGAGGGGGUUAGCGUUGUUCGGAAUUACUGGGCGUAAAGCGCGCGUAGGCGGAUUGGAAAGUUAGAGGUGAAAUCCCGGGGCUCAACCCCGGAACGGCCUUUAAAACUCCCAGUUUAGAGUUCGAGAGAGGUGAGUGGAAUUCCAAGUGUAGAGGUGAAAUUGGUAGAUAUUUGGAGGAACACCAGUGGGGAAGGCGGCUCACUGGCUCGAUACUGACGCUGAGGUGCGAAAGUGUGGGGAGCAAACAGGAUUAGAUACCCUGGUAGUCCACACCGUAAACGAUGAAUGCCAGUCGUCGGAUAGUAUACUAUUCGGUGACACACCUAACGGAUUAAGCAUUCCGCCUGGGAGUACGGUCGCAAGAUUAAAACUCAAAGGAAUUGACGG